rnacentral:rRNA from 1 species
UACGGAGGAUCCGAGCGUUAUCCGGAUUUAUUGGGUUUAAAGGGAGCGUAGGUGGAUUGUUAAGUCAGUUGUGAAAGUUUGCGGCUUAACCGUAAAAUUGCAGUUGAUACUGGCAGUCUUGAGUACAGUAGAGGUGGGCGGAAUUCGUGGUGUAGCGGUGAAAUGCUUAGAUAUCACGAAGAACUCCGAUUGCGAAGGCAGCUCACUGGACUGCAACUGACACUGAUGCUCGAAAGUGUGGGUAUCAAACAGG